AGCUACAUCUGCGUUUCUGGACACAGAUCUUCCCCUCCUAGUAUCAGCGUCCGAAGACUUGGGAUUUUCAUUGUCGGGAGGGGACACAGUGGUCCAAUAGAGAGGAUUGUCUCUUUUAUUCAAGAAAUCCGAUGAUGGUGAUGAAGUUUGGAGGUGGGAUCUUGAGACAGCGCUUACGCUUCUUGAUCUUCGAGGAGGUGGUUUGUUCGGAGAGUUGGGUUUGGUUUCAUCUUUGGAGGAGGAUAGUGAUGAUGAAUUUGUUGGCCUUCGAGAGGAAGAUUUGAAGGCUGCCACUGCCAUUGUUGAUUCAGCCCUAUAGAAACAUUGAAGAUAUCAUUUCAUUAUCAAUACAAAAUGGUGCAGUGUAGGUGAAGACAAUUGUAUAAAAUUCUCCUGUUCUUUCGCAAUC
rnacentral:misc_RNA from 1 species